rnacentral:rRNA from 1 species
CCUACGGGAGGCAGCAGUGGGGAAUAUUGGACAAUGGGGGGAACCCUGAUCCAGCCAUGCCGCGUGUGUGAAGAAGGCCCUCGGGUUGUAAAGCACUUUCAGUGAGGAAGAACGCCUGGUGGUUAAUACCCAUCAGGAAAGACAUCACUCACAGAAGAAGCACCGGCUAACUCCGUGCCAGCAGCCGCGGUAAUACGGAGGGUGCGAGCGUUAAUCGGAAUUACUGGGCGUAAAGCGCGCGUAGGUGGCUUGAUAAGCCGGUUGUGAAAGCCCCGGGCUCAACCUGGGAACGGCAUCCGGAACUGUCAAGCUAGAGUGCAGGAGAGGAAGGUAGAAUUCCCGGUGUAGCGGUGAAAUGCGUAGAGAUCGGGAGGAAUACCAGUGGCGAAGGCGGCCUUCUGGACUGACACUGACACUGAGGUGCGAAAGCGUGGGUAGCAAACAGGAUCAGAUACCCCUGUAGUC